rnacentral:sRNA from 1 species
UUCCUAAUAAAGCGUGUCAUUUUAAGAA